rnacentral:rRNA from 1 species
GACAGAGGUGCCAAGCGUUAGGCGGAAUCACUGGGCUUAAAGCGCGUGUAGGCGGCUUGGCAAGUCGGGUGUGAAAGCCCUGGGCUCAACCUAGGAAGUGCACUCGAAACUGCUUCGCUUGAGUGUCGGAGAGGAAAGCGGAAUUCUCGGUGUAGAGGUGAAAUUCGUAGAUAUCGAGAGGAACACCGGUGGCGAAGGCGGCUUUCUGGACGAUAACUGACGCUGAGACGCGAAAGCGUGGGGAGCAAACAGG